rnacentral:rRNA from 1 species
UACGUAGGGCGCAAGCGUUGUCCGGAAUUAUUGGGCGUAAAGAGCUCGUAGGCGGCUUGUCACGUCGGAUGUGAAAGCCCGAGGCUUAACCUCGGGUCUGCAUUCGAUACGGGCUAGCUAGAGUGUGGUAGGGGAGAUCGGAAUUCCUGGUGUAGCGGUGAAAUGCGCAGAUAUCAGGAGGAACACCGGUGGCGAAGGCGGAUCUCUGGGCCAUUACUGACGCUGAGGAGCGAAAGCGUGGGGGGCGAACAGG